UCUUAAUCGGCAAUAAUACUACACAUAAAUAAUUGAACUGUCAUUUCUAUGUCCACGGAUACAUAGCGGGAAAACAGUCACAAAUGCGCCGAACCAUUUUUUCGUCGUAUCGUCCCAGACAUCAUACGUCCCUUAUGAUUGCGGGGCAGCUUGUAAAUAGGAUCAUCAAUAAGAAAAUUGAUCACAAGAAAAUUGAUGAAUCGGUGUGGGAGCUAUCUUUACGAAGAUAUGAUGUUCGCGUACGUCCCUUUGACGUACUGUAGCAUAACAGAUCGCCACGACGGAACAUGCGCCAUAGGUGAUGUAAUAAUUUGAAGCCAGAAUCAUCAAAUAAAAACUGCGACUCUUGAAAUUGGCUUUUCGUAGUUUGUCCCAUGAAACUGCCGCUGCAGUUGCCUGCAGUACGGAGCGAACGCAAUGUCGCAGCUGCCACCCGUGUAAUACAACGAGUCGCAGAUCCAUGCAGAAACCAGCCUAUCCUCUUAAUCAAAAGCCCUGCUGAAAGGUCGUGUGUGCGUUGACGAAUCGAUGUAAGAUGCGCCGAAUUGCGAUAUGGGGUUGAGGAACUUGGUCACAAGGAAAAGAGACACCGCAGGAUGGUACGCGUACAGAACCGCCGGGAGCCGUUACGCCAAUGAGACAAUUUGUGCCUUCCGCGACGCGAUAAUGAUCGGGCCCGUCGUCGAGCGCCACGGCUACCACAGUGACAAAGCCGCAAGUUAAGAUUUUUGUGUCGGAACCGUCCUUUGCCAUAUAAGGCAUAUAUGGAAGAGAUCGUCUAGUAAGAGUAUCCCGACGGCAUUGGUCGGGCGGCGUGGCGGGAGGCUUGCAGCCGGG
rnacentral:lncRNA from 1 species